AGGGAAGCCGGUACAAAAGUGGACAAAAUCUGAGUGGUUUGAAAGAAUGACAGCAGGCCCCAGAUUCUCUUCAGAGCCAAGGCCUUGGCUCCUACUAGAAAUAUUAAUAGAAGAGUUGGAGAAUCUAAAGCAGUAUAUCCCUGUAACAGAACUGAUCUCAGAUAGUAAUGGGUAAACAAUUAACUUUUCCCCAAAAGAGGUUUGGCCUUUGUCCAGUGAAGUAAUUUUUAAGCCUGUCGACUGUCCUGCCUCAGAUGUGUAUCUGUUUAUCUAGAAGCUUUAUGUGCCAAACCAGAUCAUACGUGCCAAUGAUUUAUGAUAAAGAUCCAUGUACAAAGUGUUAUCACUGUGGCUGAUGGAAAGGGUGGAGACUAAGAUCAGCCAAGUGGGAAACCAGUCAUUCCCACAUGAUUGAGCCCCAUAAAAUGCCAGUCAACAAGACUCAGGUUAAGAUCACAGGUUAAGAUUUGAAUAUAUGUGAUGAAAUGAUUUCCUCAUCAAUCUUUUUGUAAUCCCAGUGAUAUAUCUUCUUCACCUUCAAGGAAAGACAAUGCCACCAGCAUUGGGGACAGGCAGUAGAUAGACAACCUCCAGCCAAGAGUACUUCCAGAGUUGGUUUCAGCCACAGAGUGCUGCCUCUGUCCUCUCUCUCCCAUGGGGAGCCUAAUCUUCAAAUCAUCUGUACCCAGUGAUGAGCAAAGGCAUCGGGAUAAGAGUACCAAGGUACAGUUUCAUGAGACACUUAGAUGAUUUCCUUCUUAGAGCUUCUCAUGGCCAAAGCCUUAAUUUGCCAUCACUGUAGCACAGCUUUUCUUCUGCCCAUCAAUAAUCAAAGGUUGAUGCCCAC